rfam:Gossypium hirsutum cultivar TM-1 chromosome 24, whole genome shotgun sequence
GGAGAGAUGGCUGAGUGGACUAAAGCGUCGGAUUGUUAAUCCAUUGUGCGAGUUAUUUGUACAGAGGGUUCGAAUCCCUCUCUUUCCG